UAGCAUAUGAUCCUACAUACUCGGAUUCCCUUUCAGACAUUUUGGGUGAUGUGAAGUCGAGUUUCUGAUGUG